rnacentral:rRNA from 1 species
GGUUAAGCGACUAAGCGUACACGGUGGAUGCCCUGGCAGUCAGAGGCGAUGAAGGACGUGCUAAUCUGCGAUAAGCGUCGGUAAGGUGAUAUGAACCGUUAUAACCGGCGAUUUCCGAAUGGGGAAACCCAGUGUGUUUCGACACACUAUCAUUAACUGAAUCCAUAGGUUAAUGAGGCGAACCGGGGGAACUGAAACAUCUAAGUACCCCGAGGAAAAGAAAUCAACCGAGAUUCCCCCAGUAGCGGCGAGCGAACGGGGAGGAGCCCAGAGCCUGAAUCAGUGUGUGUGUUAGUGGAAGCGUCUGGAAAGGCGCGCGAUACAGGGUGACAGCCCCGUACACAAAAAUGCACAUGCUGUGAGCUCGAUGAGUAGGGCGGGACACGUGGUAUCCUGUCUGAAUAUGGGGGGACCAUCCUCCAAGGCUAAAUACUCCUGACUGACCGAUAGUGAACCAGUACCGUGAGGGAAAGGCGAAAAGAACCCCGGCGAGGGGAGUGAAAAAGAACCUGAAACCGUGUACGUACAAGCAGUGGGAGCCUCUUUAUGGGGUGACUGCGUACCUUUUGUAUAAUGGGUCAGCGACUUAUAUUCUGUAGCAAGGUUAACCGAAUAGGGGAGCCGAAGGGAAACCGAGUCUUAACUGGGCGUUAAGUUGCAGGGUAUAGACCCGAAACCCGGUGAUCUAGCCAUGGGCAGGUUGAAGGUUGGGUAACACUAACUGGAGGACCGAACCGACUAAUGUUGAAAAAUUAGCGGAUGACUUGUGGCUGGGGGUGAAAGGCCAAUCAAACCGGGAGAUAGCUGGUUCUCCCCGAAAGCUAUUUAGGUAGCGCCUCGUGAAUUCAUCUCCGGGGGUAGAGCACUGUUUCGGCAAGGGGGUCAUCCCGACUUACCAACCCGAUGCAAACUGCGAAUACCGGAGAAUGUUAUCACGGGAGACACACGGCGGGUGCUAACGUCCGUCGUGAAGAGGGAAACAACCCAGACCGCCAGCUAAGGUCCCAAAGUCAUGGUUAAGUGGGAAACGAUGUGGGAAGGCCCAGACAGCCAGGAUGUUGGCUUAGAAGCAGCCAUCAUUUAAAGAAAGCGUAAUAGCUCACUGGUCGAGUCGGCCUGCGCGGAAGAUGUAACGGGGCUAAACCAUGCACCGAAGCUGCGGCAGCGACGCUUAUGCGUUGUUGGGUAGGGGAGCGUUCUGUAAGCCUGUGAAGGUGUGCUGUGAGGCAUGCUGGAGGUAUCAGAAGUGCGAAUGCUGACAUAAGUAACGAUAAAGCGGGUGAAAAGCCCGCUCGCCGGAAGACCAAGGGUUCCUGUCCAACGUUAAUCGGGGCAGGGUGAGUCGACCCCUAAGGCGAGGCCGAAAGGCGUAGUCGAUGGGAAACAGGUUAAUAUUCCUGUACUUGGUGUUACUGCGAAGGGGGGACGGAGAAGGCUAUGUUGGCCGGGCGACGGUUGUCCCGGUUUAAGCGUGUAGGCUGGUUUUCCAGGCAAAUCCGGAAAAUCAAGGCUGAGGCGUGAUGACGAGGCACUACGGUGCUGAAGCAACAAAUGCCCUGCUUCCAGGAAAAGCCUCUAAGCAUCAGGUAACAUCAAAUCGUACCCCAAACCGACACAGGUGGUCAGGUAGAGAAUACCAAGGCGCUUGAGAGAACUCGGGUGAAGGAACUAGGCAAAAUGGUGCCGUAACUUCGGGAGAAGGCACGCUGAUAUGUAGGUGAAGUCCCUCGCGGAUGGAGCUGAAAUCAGUCGAAGAUACCAGCUGGCUGCAACUGUUUAUUAAAAACACAGCACUGUGCAAACACGAAAGUGGACGUAUACGGUGUGACGCCUGCCCGGUGCCGGAAGGUUAAUUGAUGGGGUCAGCGCAAGCGAAGCUCUUGAUCGAAGCCCCGGUAAACGGCGGCCGUAACUAUAACGGUCCUAAGGUAGCGAAAUUCCUUGUCGGGUAAGUUCCGACCUGCACGAAUGGCGUAAUGAUGGCCAGGCUGUCUCCACCCGAGACUCAGUGAAAUUGAACUCGCUGUGAAGAUGCAGUGUACCCGCGGCAAGACGGAAAGACCCCGUGAACCUUUACUAUAGCUUGACACUGAACAUUGAGCCUUGAUGUGUAGGAUAGGUGGGAGGCUUAGAAGUGUGGACGCCAGUCUGCAUGGAGCCGGCCUUGAAAUACCACCCUUUAAUGUUUGAUGUUCUAACGUUGACCCGUAAUCCGGGUUGCGGACAGUGUCUGGUGGGUAGUUUGACUGGGGCGGUCUCCUCCUAAAGAGUAACGGAGGAGCACGAAGGUUGGCUAAUCCUGGUCGGACAUCAGGAGGUUAGUGCAAUGGCAUAAGCCAGCUUGACUGCGAGCGUGACGGCGCGAGCAGGUGCGAAAGCAGGUCAUAGUGAUCCGGUGGUUCUGAAUGGAAGGGCCAUCGCUCAACGGAUAAAAGGUACUCCGGGGAUAACAGGCUGAUACCGCCCAAGAGUUCAUAUCGACGGCGGUGUUUGGCACCUCGAUGUCGGCUCAUCACAUCCUGGGGCUGAAGUAGGUCCCAAGGGUAUGGCUGUUCGCCAUUUAAAGUGGUACGCGAGCUGGGUUUAGAACGUCGUGAGACAGUUCGGUCCCUAUCUGCCGUGGGCGCUGGAGAACUGAGGGGGGCUGCUCCUAGUACGAGAGGACCGGAGUGGACGCAUCACUGGUGUUCGGGUUGUCAUGCCAAUGGCACUGCCCGGUAGCUAAAUGCGGAAGAGAUAAGUGCUGAAAGCAUCUAAGCACGAAACUUGCCCCGAGAUGAGUUCUCCCUGACUCCUUGAGAGUCCUGAAGGAACGUUGAAGACGACGACGUUGAUAGGCCGGGUGUGUAAGCGCAGCGAUGCGUUGAGCUAACCGGUACUAAUGAACCGUGAGGCUUAACCUU